GGUGGCUCAGUGGUCGAGCGCUUGCCUUGCAUGCAAGAGGCCCUGGGUUCGAUUCCUCAGCACCA
rnacentral:tRNA from 1 species